GCCUGGACACUCAUUACCAAAAUUUUGCCCAUGACCUUGCCUCGCUCGCAGGACCGAGGCUGGAUAGAUCCUGGAAAGUGUCCUGGGACACUUCUAGGAAUUUUAAAGGUUUUAACUGUGUAAAUAGUCUAAAAUAACCGUAACGACUGCUUUCCAAUACUGUGAGCAUUGGUCACGUGACUCUGGCCCAGUUAGCCGUGUUAGUCACACACGGCAAAGAGCCAUUCAACCAAAAUUGAAUUGAAUUGAAAGGACAAAGGCAGGGUUCUAAGGACGUUUUGUACCACUAUGGAAAUGACGGGUUCCGUAAUGAAAGUACCAUGAUUAGAGAGACACUGUACAGGUACACAAGUCAAUUAAUUACUAGAUUUUUAGAAGCUGGGAGAAAAG